UGUCGGCUCUUCCUAUCAUUGUGAAGCAGAAUUCACCAAGCGUUGGUUUGUUAACCCACUAAUAGGGAACGUGAGCUGGAAUUAGACCGUCGUGAGACAGGUU
rnacentral:ncRNA from 1 species